rnacentral:rRNA from 1 species
CGACGAAUCUUCCGCAAUGGACGAAAGUCUGACGGAGCGAUGCCGCGUGUGGGAUGAAGCGGCUUUGCCGUGUAAACCACUGUCAGGGGGUAGAAACAAUGAUCACCUCCAAAGGAAGGGUCGACUAACCCUGUGCCAGCAGUCGCGGUAAGACAGGGGACCCGAGCGUUAGUCGGAAUUACUGGGCUUAAAGGGUGCGUAGGCGGACCUGUAAGUGUCGUGUGAAAGCCCACCGCUCAACGGUGGAACUGCACGGCAAACUGCAGGUCUCGAGGUUGGUAGAGGCCGGUGGAACGAUUGGUGGAGCGGUGGAAUGCGUAGAUAUCAAUCGGAACGCCAAAGGUGAAGACAGCCGGCUGGGCCACACCUGACGCUGAGGCACGAAAGCGUGGGGAGCAAA